UACAGAGGGUGCGAGCGUUGUUCGGAAUUAUUGGGCGUAAAGGGCGCGUAGGCGGUGCGGUAAGUCACCUGUGAAAUCUCCUGGCUUAACUGGGAGCCUGCAGGCGAAACUACCGUGCUGGAGUGUGGGAGAGGUGCGUGGAAUUCCCGGUGUAGCGGUGAAAUGCGUAGAUAUCAGGAAGAACACCCGUGGCUAAGGCGGCUCUCUAGUACGGUACUGACGCUGAGACGCGAAAGCGUGGGGAGCGAACAGG
rnacentral:rRNA from 1 species